AACCAUCUCCACCGCACCAUCACCACCACCACCAACAAGUAAGGCCCUCUUAUGAAACUUUUGUUUAUACAUACGAAAACAUCAAUCGAGUAUAGAUUCUUGAUAAAUAUGUGUGGAUGAACAUUAAUCUAUACUUAUUUCUUGUUGGGUUGCAAUGAUUUAUGCUAUUUGGAAAAAAAUUGAGAUUGAAAUUGGUUUUUUUUUUAUUCUUCGUUAUUCCGGAAAUCGGUUUAUACAAACUGAUUUAUUUUAAAAAAAAUCGGUGUUAUGAUGCUGAAAUUUGUUCACCAAAUAGGCUAUAGAACUUCAAUUUUACAAAAAAAAAAUGGCGUUGUAAUGUCGAUUAAUGAUUACAAAAUCGAGUUUAGUAUACCGAUUUUUUUCGUUUUUUUUUUUUAUAUAUAUUUGAUCAAUUGAUUUUUUUAAAUUUUUUUUAAAUGUCGAAGGCUACAACUGCGCAACUGAACGGAUACUUGACGCUCUUUCAUGCGUGGAUUUACGAGCAUUUCCCAUCCUUCAAUCCAACAUUUCGGCCAAAGUUUGAGGGGUACUUGGCCAACCGAUGGGUGUAUCCGAAGAAUUCGACGACAAGUGUGGAACGAGCACGGCAUUUGCGUUUGAUGUUAGACGAGUUGAAACCGGAUGAGGUAAAUUGUCAAUUGUUUGUUAAUUUUUUUUUUUCGAUUUUUGAAGGAGUUAAUAGUAAACAUAUUCGCGUAGGUUAUAUAGGACCCAUAUUUAGAACUUCGUGAUCGUUUCCCGAUGCCCGAAUCGGCGUGGUUCAGCGGAAUGCUAUGUUGCUUGGACUUCUUGCAGCCACACCAUCCAGAUAGGGUAUUGCGCCAGUUUAGUCGGGUCCAACAAAUACCGGGGUGUCCCUACAUGUCCGAAACUAUGGCGAAGCAAUACAUGGCGAAGAGAUACAGGUCACGUGAUAAUUCUGAAAUGUCAUUUGUCCCACUCCACGAUCGUUUAUUCGAUCGAUGGGAUGAGUAUUGCUUGGAUGCCGAGACGAGAUCGACUCCAGUACUUGAUGGGCAGCCCGAUACGUCUUCUGCGUAUAUGGAUUGGUUUAGAGAGCACACUCUUACUCGCCUUAGUACCGCUCAGGCAUCUCGACCACAUGCACCACGAUCCAAAGCAGCUCGACCACCGCAAGACGUUGGGACAGAUCCACCACAAUCAAGGGACAUGAAGAUCUUUGACAUGGUUAAGGGAACUCUCACCAACGUACGUCAAAUGGACGUUAGUGAUGCUCAUAGUACAAUGUGGUCGACGUUGAAUGAGAUCUUAGCAUUAUUUGAUGAGACCCCGUCGACCAUCCUGCCGUCGUCAUCAGCUCCUACACCGACAUCCUCACCACCGGCACCAUCGGCACCAUCUUCAACAUUGGCCCCACCUGCAGACCAACCACGUAAGGUCUUUCGGAGGAGGACGGCGAUGAAGAAGUAGUAUUUUAUAUUUUGUAGUAUUUUGCUAAGACAAUUUCACUAUGCAUAGUAUUUAUAGGUUUUAUUUAUCUUUUUUGGACUUGAUCAAUUGGAUUGCAAAUUGAUUUCUAUUUCAUUUUGAUGGUUUUAUUAUGCUAUUAAUGAUAUAUUUAUCGCACAUGAUAGUAAUCAUACAUUGGAAAAAAAAAUAAAAAAAAUAAAAAAAAAACGAAAACAGAUAGAUAUCGGUACUAGAGAACCGAUUUUUCUUUACAAAAUCGGUUUUCAAGUACCGAUAUAUCACGGUUUUUCCAAAAAAAAAUUAACAAAAAAACCGUGAAAUAUCGGUUCUUGAAAACCGAUUUUUCAUUAAAAAAUCGGUUUUCCUAUACCGAUUUACAACUUUUUUUUUUAAAUUUUGGAAAAACAGAAAAAUAUCGGUGCUAGAGAACCGAUUUUUCAAAGAAAAAUCGGUUUUCUAGAACCGAUUUUUUAUUUCAAAAUCGGUUCUCUAGCACCGAUAUAUGUCUAUUUUUUUUUUUUUUUUUUGUUUCGAAACUUUGGUCUCAUGGUAACUUUUUAACUUUUUUUAAAACCCGUGAGAUAUCGGUUCUAGAGAAUCGAUUUUUAAUUCAUGAAUCCGAUAUGUCAUUGUUUUUCGCUUUUUUUUUUUUUAUGUUUUUUCCAACUCGUUAUACACAUUAUUCUAAGGUGUAAUACAACUUUAGAGGUAUGCUUCAUACAUAUAUAUGUUCCAAGUCUCUCUUUCAAUUGCAAUUUCUGACGAUAAUUGUAAAUUGUCCUCAUUCCAGCUACAUUCGUCUCGUCCCUUAUCUUCAAUGAUUUGAGAAUCGCCUUCGGCUUUGCCAUUGCUUUAGACAUUCCUUCAACAAGUACCAUCUCUUCUUUUGUUAGUCUCCCGGCAUAAGAGUGGCCGUGCAAGUUCUCAAAAUCCGUGUGGGUGUGAGUACCACAUUGAACUUUUAAAUCCCACCCAACAUUAUCAGUAUCCUUUCCUUGUUUUGUCCCAUUUAAUCUAAAUGUGCAAUUACAUUUUUUAGAACCCGUCUUCCUCUUUCCCUCUCCUUGGUCAUCCUCACCGGCUUUCUUCUUCCCACGAUAUUCACCCGCACGUUCGCAUGCGAGUAUUACAUACGGUCUUCUACGCCCUUUCAAUCCCGGAUUUCAAACGAAAGUGUUUAUCACCAUUCCGUGGCGUCUACCAACACCUUUAACCCACUCAAGUAGAGCUUCUCGUGUCUCAAAUAUUUGUUCCAUAGAAAAUUCAUCCGAAUAAUCCUCCAUCAAUCCCCUAGGUUGCUGCAAGAAAGUACGGGAAAACGGUCUUAAAAAAACAUAUAUAAUAAAAUCGGUUCUCAAAAACCGAUUUUAUGUAGUCUAAAUCGGCAUGAUAACACCGGUUAUAGACAAAAAAUCGGCUUUGUCAUGCCGGUUUUUACUACACAAAUCGGGUAUUGAGUACCGAUUUGUAUUCCAAUAAUCGGACUAUAGUUGCCGAUUUUUGCAACAAAAGUCGGUUUAUAAAUACCGAUUUUUUGUGUCGUCGAUUUUUUUUCCAACAAAAAGAAAACGACCCAAAAGCAAAAAUAAACGGUCAAAACAUACCUUAUUGUGUUCUCCACCCUCGUAAACCACCAUAUCAUUGUUUUCUGGCUCCAUCUUGAAUGUUUGGUGUGUAUUUGAUAAUUUCGACGUGUAGGGUUUCUUGGUGGCUUUGUGAAGAAGAAGGAGGAGAUUUUUAAGUCGUGAAAUAAUGAAAGGAGAUUUCUAGGGUUAUGUAUUUUAUUUGGUCUUGCACAAAGGAAAUAUAUUUUUAUUUUUUUAAUAUUUUGUGUUUUUUAUUUACUUUUGAAUUUCAUUAAGGGUAAAUUAGUAUUUUCAUGUUAGAGGUCUUGAACUAAU
rnacentral:lncRNA from 1 species